GUCGAAGGUGGGGCUGAUGACUGGGGUGAAGUCGUAACAAGGUAUCCGUACCGGAAGGUGCGGAUGGAUCACCUCCUAACAGGGAGACAACACAAUGAUUUUGAUGCCUGAGUGCUUUUAUUCUUAGGCCGAAAUCCUGUCACCUUAGGUCGAUCGGUACCUCAGCUUUGAAGUCAAGGAUCAGCAGCAAUGUUGAUUGCUUGAUGGAGAUUUUCAGUUCCUAAACUUUGUCUAGGUCACACCCCAAAAGGGAUGAGACUCCUGGGCCAUUAGCUCAGGUGGUUAGAGCGCACCCCUGAUAAGGGUGAGGUCCCUGGUUCAAGUCCAGGAUGGCCCAUUCGGUGUUGGGGGUUUAGCUCAGUUGGUAGAGCGCCUGCUUUGCAAGCAGGAUGUCAGGAGUUCGAGUCUCCUAACCUCCACUGACCGAACUUGAUUCCCAUCUCCAAUUUUUUGGAGUUGAGCUCGAUUGGAGUGUGAUUUAGAUGUGUCCGCUGGAUGACCCCAGCUUCCUGUCAUUCCAAGUUUUAGGUUAAAGCCUUGAAUUUGGUUGAUAAGAUGCUGGGCUCGGAUCAAGUGAUCAAGCAAUUGAUGAUUUGAUUUGAAGUUCUAGCAGAACCUUGACAACUGCAUAGGUGAGUCUGGAAAAAACAAAGCAUCUUACAGAUGCAUUGUUUUGAAUCUGAUCUUCUGAAAGGGAGAUUGGAUCUAGAACAAUGAAAAUUCUUUUGAGCAAGAGCCGAGACUCUUGAGCGUUCUUUGAUUGGUGUCGAGCCAAUCAGAGUUUGAUCUUGUUUUUAGCAAUAAAAACUUGAGAAUCUGCUUUCAACGGCGGUAAGCGUUCAGGAGGUUAAUUGGUCAAGCUACAAAGGGCUCACGGCG
rnacentral:misc_RNA from 1 species